rnacentral:lncRNA from 1 species
AAAGACCCUGUUGAGCUUGAAUCUAGUCUGACAUUGUGAAAUGACUUGAGAGGUGUAGGAUGAGUCGGAGCUGGAAACAACAGAAGUGAAAUACCACUACUUUUAACGUUAUUUUACUUAUUCCUUGAAUUGGAGGCGGGGUGUAGCCCCUGUUUUUGGACCCAAGGUCGGCCUUGGUGGUCGAUCUGGGCGGAAGACAUUGUCAAGUGGGGAGUAUGGCUAGUGCAGCACAUCUGUUAAAAGAUAACGCAAGUGUCCUAAGAUGAGCUCGACGAGAACAUAAAUCUCAUGUGGAACAAAAGGGUAAAAGCCGAUUUGAUUCUGAUUUCUAGUACGAAUACGAACUGUGAAAGCAUGGCCUAUCGAUCCUUUAGUCCUUCAGAAUUUGAAGCUAGAGGUGUCAGAAAAGUUACCACAUGGAUAACUGGCUUGUGAUAGCCAAGCGUUCAUAGCAAUGUUUUUUUUAUCCUUCGAUGUCGGCUCUUCCUACCAUUGUGAAGCAGAAUUUACCAAGUGUUGGAUUGUUCACCCAAAAAUAGGGAACAUGAGCUGGGUUUAGACCAUCGUGAGACAGAUUAGUUUUACCCUACUGAUGACAGUGUCACAAUAGUAAUUCAAUCUAGUAAGAGAGGAACCAUUAAUUCGCACAAUUGGUCAUUGCGCUUGGUUGAAAAGCUAGUGGUGCGAAGCUACGGUGCGUUCGAUUAUGUCUGAAUGCCUGUAAGUCAGAAUCCGGGCUAGAAGCGAUGCUUGUGCUCGUCACUCAUUUGUCGACCUGCAGUAGGGGGCCUCGGCCGCAUAGAGUCCCGUGUCAUUGGUGACCCUCGCAGGGUAGACGAACCUCGUGGGAUGCCUUGAAGCGCUAUUCCACACUGGGCAGCAGGUAGAAUCCUUUGCAUAUGAAUUAAAUACGCGACGGGGUGUUUUAAGUGGCAGAGUGGCCUUGCUGCCAUGAUCCACUUAGAUUCAAUCCUUGUCGCUUCGAUUCGUCCCUCCCACCUCAAACCUUUUUCCGAGCUAGGUCGUACACCCUAUGAGGGUUACGAACCCGCACCUCCUAUGGGCGACGAGGCGAGUAAGUGCAAAGUCUGCGUUCCGCAAGCAUAUGGUAGAGACAAAGUCACUUACAAUGUGGAGUGCGGAAUCGCCUCUGGCCAUGCCCUAUGGUGCCUUGUGUGUGGUUCAUGGUGUCCGGUGGUUGGGGUGCUUUGUGCAUGGUGUGGUUCCUCGUGCAUGAUCCCGAGUGCAAGGUGAAAGAGAGGCCAUGGCACAUGUGUCCAUGUGCUACAAGGUGAAAUUGAGGCCAUUACACACUUUCUGAGUUCUAGGUGAAAGUGACCCAUUCUGUGGCACACGUUCCGAGUGUUAGGUGAAAGUGACCCAUGCCAUGGCACAUGGUUCGAGUGCUUGGUGAAAGUGACUCGUGCCUCGUGUGAGAUUCUUGCUUCUCUCGCAUUCCCUAUUUCGGUGAAAGCAUCGUAAGAUGCUGGAACCUUCAUGAAAUGCCUCCAUAUUUGGAGGGGAACCCGUAAUUUUUUAGCCAUGGUUGCCACCAAAGUUUCACGUAAGAAUUCAACCUCUAGGCGAUGUUUCCCGUCAUGGCACCAUCGCGUGUCCUGCACUUCGGUGGAAAAUCAUUUGAGGUAAAUCCCUCGAUGUUACAUGGGCAUAACUUUGGGAAAUGUUUAGGAAUAAUGCUCCUAGCAUUCCUGCAAAAGAACAGCUCAAAAAACAUGGUGCACACUCGUUAUCUAAUUUUCGGGAAUUACGUAAAGCUCGUCGCUUAGAAAAAUUAUGAAACAUUAUUGGCUUGGAGAAAAAUCAUGACAUGGCCCACUAGUUUCCAUUCUUAUAAGCACGUGUGCAAAAAUUCAGGGCCAACUUCAACCUCUAGCCUAAAAAAAACCAAUAUGUCUUCCCAGAAAAAAGGAUGCCCGGUGGUGCAAAGUGGGCUUUUGCUUGUGUGGGCUCGUCCCUCAGGAAAGUGUGGUCCGUUGACGUACUGGUUUGGUCACACAAUGCCGAUUUCAUUAGUUGUGUCCUUGAUGCGGGCAUUCCGAGGCCUCUAAUGUGACCCGUUCUGCACGGAAGGAUGUCGUGUUGGGUGAAGCCUUAAGGGGCACAACCACAGCACGAAUGGGCACAAGUCCAAUCGUCCAGAAGUGUGUUGUGGUCGGGUUUGCAUGUUUUGAAGUCUCGGUGGGAUCGUGUGUGACCCAAGCUAAAACGUGCGAUCUCUAGGCUCGUGCCUCGCUAAACUAUGGUCUGGUGAUGAUCUGGAUCGGUCACACAAUGGCGAGGUAUGUACAUGUGGGCAUCCUGUGGACAUGCCCAGGCUUGUCAUGUGACCUAUUAUGCACUGAAGAAUUAGGUGAUGCCUUCUUGGAAGUACUUGAGUGGCCCACCACUGAGAAGUAGUAGGCGGCUUUGCCCCACAAUGUCUCGUUCGGUUAGUGAUCUUCCCUGGUUGGGAGAUUUAUGCGGGAUGCCUUGCAGCACUAUUCUCUACUUGGCACUCCAAGAGUCUUUUCAGUGACUUAAAUAGCAUGGCACUUCGGAACAGGCAGAGUGGACUUGCUGUUACGAUCCACUCUGAUUUUUCUCCUGUCGCCUUGUUUUUUUCCACCAGCCUCCAACUUUUUAAGUUCUAUAUCAUAUACCCAAUGAGUGUUGCGGAGCAGCAACUUGUGUGUGCGAUUAGUCGAAUUGGUGCAACAAAAAUCCACGAUGGACACAUAGACCUCUGCUAUACACCCUUUCCGAGUGGUAGGUGAAAGUGAUGGCACAUGUUCCGAGUGGUAGGUGAAAGACGCCAACCCCUUCAUGAAAUUCCUCCAUAUUUUGACGGGAACCCAGAAUUGUUUUGCCAUGGUUGCCUGCAAAGUCUCAAGUCGGAAUUCCACUCCUAGGUGAUGUUGCCCGUCAUGGCACCAUAGCAUGUGCUGCACUUUGGUAGAAAAUCAUUUCAGGUAAAUGCCUCAAUGUUACAUGGGCGUAAAUUUGGGAAAUGUUUAGAAAUAAUAUUCCACAAAACAUGGUACACACUAAUUUUCUAAUUUUUGGGAAUUAUGUAAUGCUCGCCGCUUAGAAAAAUUACAAAAAAUUAUCGGCUUGGAGAAAAAUUAUGAAACUUCGUGGAACACUAGAUCUUAUUCUUAUAAGAACGUGUGGAAAACAUCAGGCCAAAAUUCGACCUCUAGCCUAAAAAAAGCAAGUAUGUCUUCCUAGAGAAAAUGAUCUCUGGUGGUACAGAGUGGGUUUUUGCAUAUUAGCCUACUAUAGGGGGGCAGCUGCCUGCUUGCCCAUGCACCUUGAUGGGUCAGGAUGGCUUGCCAUGCCCCCCCCCCAACGCCCCAGCAAGAUUCCCCAAGCAUGCUGGUGCUUAGUCCAUGGCGAUGUGGGCAAUUCGACCGAGUCAUCUUCCAUGCCGAAUCUCGGUCGUACGUGGCCACGUGUAGGCUGGUCGUUCUGAAAAAUGUGUGCAUCGUAUUGAACAUAUCUGGCACCUAUGACUCGUUUGCGAUGCAUCAAGGGCUUGACAUUUUCCUCACGGUCCGACUCGAAAUUCUUGAUGCGUUCGUCCUACUUGUUGAGGUUCCGGUUUGGUGACUCGGUGACGGGUUGGGUAGUUGCGGGUGGCGGGCGUGCCGAGGCUUCUAGCGUGAUCGUUUCUGCAUGGAAGGAUGUGGUGUUAGGUGAAGCCUUCAGGGGCAUAGCCACAACACGAAGGGGCACAAGUCCAAUCAUCUGGAAGUGUGUUGCGGGCUGGUUUGCACGAUUGAAGUCAAGGUAUAGUCGUUUGCGAUUGUAGCAACAACGUGCCUCAGGUAGGCUUGUCCCUCAGAAAUGUGUUGGUUGUUGAGGUGUGGGAUUGGUCCCGCAGUGCGGAGUUGGUAGUUACGGUAUCCCACAGACGUUCCGAGGCUUCUAGUGUGACCAGUCCUACACGGAAGGAUGUGGUGUUGGGUGAAGCCCUUAUGGGGCAUAGCUACAGCACGAAGGGGUGCAAGCCCAAUCAUUUGGAAGUAGUGUGUUUGUGGCUUGUUUUCAUGGUUGAAGUCAACAUGCGGUGGUGUAAGACGCACGCAACAAUGCUACACGGUGUAGGCUUGUCCAAAAGAAAUAGAUGCGCACCUUGGGAAAUAUGUGCGUACCUAGGCGUAUUUGUUUCCUGUGAGGCCCUUUUCGCCAUGAAAGGACGUGGUGUUAAGUGAUGCCCUAAGGGAAGAUCUUUGAUCCUGACCUUGGCACGGUUUUGAUGAAGACACCAACAUCACCAAAAAGAAGAAAAGGAAGAAUACUUAUGAAGACAAAGAAGAUUAAAGCUUCAAGAAGAUUAGAAUAAGUCUCUAUAGGUACUUCUAUCCUAAAACUCUUACUUAUGCAAAGUAGUAAUACUCAAAAACUAUUUUUAAAGAAUAAUGAAACACUUUGAAAAUACUUAAAACAAUAUGUGAAAAGAUGUGUAACGCGUUACUUAAUUCAAGUAACAAGUUACAUGUGAGAGAAAAAGAGUUAUCCAACUUAAAACUGCUCAGAGUAAUCCAUUACUACAUUUGAGUAACAGAUUACCAAUUUUACAAAAUUUGAGUAACCGAUUACCCAAAUGGUGUAAUCGAUUACUCAAAUUCGAAUGUAUAAAUUCAGUGGACAGAAUGUUUGGGUAAUCGAAUACCCAAUGUAAGUAAUCGAUUACUAAGGACUGUUGAAAGAGAUUUCAGAUUUCAAAACGAAAAGUUUUCACUCCAAACAAAAUAUCUUCACUCCCAACAACUCCUACACUUUCAUAAAGUCACCUUGGAUGUUUGGAAAGCCUAUAUAAAGACUCUAAACUCUCACAACAUUAACACACAACUUUCAUACAACUCUCAUAAANNNNNNNNNNNNNNNNNNNNNNNNNNNNNNNNNNNNNNNNNNNNNNNNNNNNNNNNNNNNNNNNNNNNNNNNNNNNNNNNNNNNNNNNNNNNNNNNNNNNGUAUAAAAUACUUGUGUACUCUCCUUUCCCUUUCCUCUUUACUUUAUACUUGUUUAUUUUUCUGCAAUAUUAUCCGCUGCACAUUAACUCUUACAUUUUGCAGAAAAAGUUAUAAUAAUUUUAAGUCAACUAAUUCACCCUCCUCUUAGUUGUAAUCUUGUUCUUACAAUUGGCACCAGAGCUAUAUUUGAGUAAGAUACUCUCAAAUUCGAUCCUACAUCAAGAUGGCCUCAAGAUUCCAACAUCAACCGCCCUCCAAGCUUUGUUGGAGAAUGCUAUGAUUUCUAGAAAAUCAGAAUGAGGAUCUUCAUUGAGUCUCAAGACUUAGAUAUAUGGAAUGCAAUUGAAGAAGGACCAUACAUACCCUUCACUGUUAUCAACAUUAUAAGGGAAAUAAAGCCAAAAUCUUUAUGGAAUGAUGAAGACAAGAAGAAAGUGCAAUACGACCUUAAAGCCAAAAACAUUCUUGUGUCGGCUCCAAAAGAAAAAGAAUUUCUUAGAGUGUCAAGUUGCAAAACACCGAAAGAAAUUUGGGACACUCUAGAAAGGAUACAUGGAGCCAAAGAAAUACAAAGGUCUGCAACAAAAAGUGAAGCAUCAACAUCAAAUCAAAAAUCUACAUGCUCAAUAUGCAGAAAACCAGAUCAUCUAAAAUGUGCUUGUCCAGCCCUACAAAAGCAUCAUACUUUCAAAAGAAAGAAGGACAAGAAGCGUAGAAGAACAAAUGUUAUAUCAGAAGAUAAAGAUGAUGGUUCAAAUGCAGAAGUCAGAAUUAAGGAGCAAUCACAUAUUUCAUUGAUGGCUUCACACAAUUCAAAUGACGAAUAUGAGGUUAGUAACUUUGAACCAAAUUAUAUUUUUUCAUAUGAUGAGUUAGUUUAACGAUUUCCAUCAAGAAUAUGUUAAGCUUUCCAAAAUUUUCUUGAAACAGAAAAAUGAAAUUUUUAUUUUGGAAAGUCGUAACAAAGUUCUAAAGAAAGAUAUUGAAAACCCCACUUCUUCCUCAUGUCAAAAAUGUGUUGCUCUUGAAACUAAAAUUUCCACAUUAAGUCUUGAACUUAAUAAACUCAACAAGAGCAGUCACAAUUUAGACAAGAUCAUAAAAUUCCAAAGACAUUCAACAGACCAUAGAGGUCUUGGCUAUGCAAAUAGUCGUGUGGCUAAAAAUGAGAAUGUCUUAGGAAAAACAAUCGUGGGAAGCACUAUAAAGUUUUAUAAAGAUAGUGUCCAUAUUAAUCCUACUUUUAAAAUAAAAUAUUGGACACUUAAACAUCUACCCACUUGUUCUUACUGUGAUAAAAUUGGUCACACACCUAACACAUGUCAUAUUAGAAAAUAUGGUGUGUCAUCUGGCCAAUACAAAUGGAGAGAAAAAGGUGCUAACCCCACAGAACCCAAAUCACAUUGGGUACCUAUAAAAUCCUUUUGAACUUGUUUUGUAGGAAAAUUUGAGAGCCGCCUGUAAUUUAUGGUACUUGGAUAACGGCUGCUCAAAACACAUGAUGGGCGGUAAAAGUAAUUUCUCUGUCCUUAGUCCAAGGGACAAAGGAUAUGUCACAUAUGGUGACAACAACAAGGGAAGAAUUCUUGGAGUUGGUAGAACUGGAAAGCCACCAUCAACAACUAUAGAAGGUGUACUAUAUGUUGAAGGACUUAAACAUAACCAUCUAAGCAUAAGUCAAUUAUGCGACAAAGGAUUUCAUGUGGNNNNNNNNNNNNNNNNNNNNNNNNNNNNNNNNNNNNNNNNNNNNNNNNNNNNNNNNNNNNNNNNNNNNNNNNNNNNNNNNNNNNNNNNNNNNNNNNNNNNAUUGACAUGAAUUCUGCUUUACCUAUAACAUGUUUAGUAGCAAAUGAUAAUCAUGAUGCAUGGCUUUGGCAUAGAAGAAUAGCUCACAUCCACAUGGAACAUUUAAAUAAACUUAUUAAGAAAGAUUUAAUUGUCGGUUUACCCAAAAUGAAGUUUGUUAAAGACAAACUAUGUAGUGCUUGUCAAAUGGGUAAACAAACAAAAACUUCUUUCAAACCAAAGCACAUGGUUUCUUCUGAUAGACCAUUACAACUACUUCAUAUGGAUUUAUUUGGUCCCUCAAGGACAAAACGUUUAGGUGGAAAUUACUAUGCUCUUGUUAUAGUAGACGAUUUUUCUAGAUAUACCUGGACUCUCUUCUUAGUACAUAAGAAUGAGGCAUUCAAAGCCUUUAGCAUUUAUGCUAAAAGAGUUCAAAAUGAAAAAUCUCUAAAAAUUGCUGCUAUACGAAGUGAUAAUAGGGGCGGGGAUUUCAAAAAUCCUCUUUUGAGGAAUUCUGUAAUGAUCUUGUGAUCAACCACAAUUUUUCUGCUCCUAGAACACCUCAACAAAAUGGUGUUGUAGAGAGAAAGAAUCGGUCCUUAGAAGAACUGGCUCGAACAAUGUUAAAUGAAACUAACCUCCCAAAAUACUUUUGGGCUGAUGCAGUUAGCACUGCUUGUUAUGUUUCGAAUCGAGUUCUUAUAAGACCUAUUCUUAAGAAAACCCCCUAUGAACUCUUCAAAGGUAGAAAACCUAACAUUUCUCAUCUACACGGUUUUGGUUGUAAAUAUUUUGUUCUGAACAAUGGUAAGGAUAAUUUGGGCAAGUUUGAUGCUAAAGCUGAUGAAGGGAUUUUCCUUGGCUAUUCUCUCACGAGUAAAGCAUAUAGAGUCUUUAAUAAAAGAAGUCUACCUAGCCAUGGAAGAAUCUGUUCAUGCAACUUUUUAUGAAAACAAUCAUGUUUUAAAAGAUGUAAUAUCCUGUGAUGAAGACGACUUGCCAAGUUCCUCCACCAAAGAAAACUCUAUUGUUGAUGUUAAAACUGAACCUGAAGAAUUGAGAGAAGAUGAUGAUCUACUUUCUCAAGAAGAACACAGUCACUCAGAUCUACCAAAAGAAUGGAGAACUCAUCGAAAUCAUCCUAUCGACAACAUCAUCAGUGACAUAAGUAAAGGUAUAACCACUCGUAGAAUGCUUGAUGCUUGUCUAAACAUGGCCUUCGUCUCUCAGAUAGAACCCUCCAAGAUUGAUGAUGCAAUCGAGGAUGAACACUGGAUUCUUGCCAUGCAAGAAGAAUUAAACCAGUUUGAGAGAAACGAAGUGGGAACUUGUUNNNNNNNNNNNNNNNNNNNNNNNNNNNNNNNNNNNNNNNNNNNNNNNNNNNNNNNNNNNNNNNNNNNNNNNNNNNNNNNNNNNNNNNNNNNNNNNNNNNNUCUUGGACUUCAAAUCAAACAGCUUGAUAAUGGCAUCUUUGUGAGUCAAACCAAGUACUGCAAGGAUUUACUAAAAAGAUUCGAUAUGGAUGAUUGCAAGCCAAUAACUACUCAUAUGGGAUCUAGCACAUACAUUGAUACCGAUGAAAGUGGAAAAAGUAUUGAAAUUUCAAAGUAUCGAGGUAUGAUCGGAUCUCUUCUAUAUUUAACUCCCAGUAGACCUGAUAUUAUGUUUAGUGUAUGUUUGUGUGCACGCUAUCAGUCUAAACCAAAAGAAUCACAUUUAGUUGUUGUUAAGAGAAUUAUGAAAUAUCUAAAAGGUACAACUGAAGUUGGAUUAUGGUNNNNNNNNNNNNNNNNNNNNNNNNNNNNNNNNNNNNNNNNNNNNNNNNNNNNNNNNNNNNNNNNNNNNNNNNNNNNNNNNNNNNNNNNNNNNNNNNNNNNAAAGAUGUAUCCGUAGAAUUUGUUGAUACUCAUAACCAACUUGCAGACAUUUUCACUAAGCCCUUGGUAAAAGAACUUUUUUUACAAAAUUAGACUUGAAUUAGGCAUUCUUGAUGAAGCUUACCUGUCUUAACAUGCUUAUAUGAUUAUAUGUUUGCUUCAUUAAUAUUAUCUCAUGCCUACUUGAUCUUCAAUAUGUUUAUUUGUGUUAAAAAACUUAAUUUUUUUGGGUUAAAAUCAUUUUCAUAGCUUAAUUUUGCCUAAAAAUAAGCUUUUCUAGGGUACGUAAUCGAUUACAUUGGAGAGUAACCGAUUACAGGAUGAAAUAUCGUGUUUUAGUAACCGAUUACCCAAAGUGAGUAAUCGAUUACUCAAAGCUGCUGUUUGAAAUUUUUAAUUUUUUUUUGAGUAAUCGAUUACUCAAAGAGGGUAAUCGAUUACUCUGUGCUGUUAUAUAUGAAAUUUCUGCAAAUUUUAACUUUUUCAAAAACCCAUCUUCCUCACUCAACUCGUGUUCUCCUCUUCUCAAAGCCUCUCAACCUCUAAAAACCUUAUUUUUGAUCCAUUUUGGGUGAUCUUUGUGUCCAUUCAUAUCACAUUCUUGAUUCUAAACACUUCUAACCAACCAUUUUCGUGAUUAGUGGCUCAAAUUAAAAAACCCCAAAUUCCCAAAAACCAAAAAACCAUAAAUUUCAAAAUCCAAAAUUCAUGGCUUCAUCUUCUAAAUCAAAGAAACUACGCUCAAAUACUACUCAAAGGAUUCAAGGAACAACAUCUUUGGAAUGCAAACCUCUGGACUUAACAAGGCUUCUUGCUAACGAUGAGCAACGCAAGAUAUUUGAGGAACACUUCCAUGGUCGCGACAUUUUACUCCUAAAUAUGGUAAUGUUGAUAAUUUUGAGUUUGAAGAUUUUUUGUUCCCUUAUCUCUUACGUCAACAAAAACGAUCUCUUACGUCAACAAAACCUUUUUGACUUUUGUUCUGAAACAAACGACAUUUAUCCCGAACUUGUGAGAGUAUUUUAUUGUAACAUGAACUUUCGGAAAAAUCGUCUUACAUCCUAUGUUAAAGGAAAAGACAUUGUGUUAGACCUAAAAACUUUCAGUUCAUUGUUAUGUAACAUACCCUAUCAAGGUAACAUAACAAGUUUCGGCCUUGUAUGUGAAUGGGAUAAAUAUGAUCGAAAGGAUUUUUAUAACUCCUUAUGUCGACUUUCGAAAAGGGAAAUAGAAAUGCGUAAGCAACAAGGCUUUGGAGAGACUGUCAAACACCGAGACAUCCUAUCUCUGUAUAUUUCAAACUAGAGGAAUGUUUGAUUCAUUAUUUCUUGAGUUAUGUCAUUAUACCUAAAUUUUGAAAUCAUUCUCAAAUAAGUGACAUAGAACUCCAAUUGAUGUAUGCCAUAAAGUUUAAUAUCAAAAUCAAUUGGACUCUCAUGAUAAUGAGACAAAUGUGGACCGUUAGAGGUACUCAAAGACCUCAGAACCCGCACUUAUACUCAUAGAACCGACAAGCCGACCACUGAUGCUGAACCAUCUGAACCUGAAGCUCCUAAUCCUUUUGAACCACAACCAUAUGAGUUUCAUGCUCAAUCAUCCUCAUCUACUGCCAUGCCCUCGAACCAAAUGAUUAUGGAUGAGUUGGUUUCUCUCCGAGGCUACAUCACCAAUCGGAUGGAUGCUCUCGAUUCUCAGAAUCAAAAAAUCCAAUAUGAACUUCAUUGCCUCUCCUCAAGGAUGGACAACAUGGAUAUAGAGGAAGAUAACUCGGAGCCUGAAUCUUAGUAUUCUUUCAUAAUAUUUGUUGUAUUACUUUAAAAUCUCGGACAAAUUGUUACUUAGUUGUUGUUUGUUUUUAUGUUCUUGCUGCUGGACAAAUUUAUGUUUUGGUGUUUUAUGCUUUAUCUUGAUAGAAACAUCUUAACUAUGCACUACAUUAAUUUUCAUAUAAUGUGCUAUACAUCCUGUAUGCUAUAUAUGCUAUAUAUCUUUGUGCUGGACUCUUGGCUUUUCUACUUUUUGAUGAAGUCAAAAGGGGGAGAAAAGUUGGGAGAGUGUAUUUUCUGUCAAACUUUAUUCCAAAUGAAAGGGGGAGCAUAAAAUAUAGGUAAUCUCUUCUCCACAUUUCUUCUCUAUGAUGCCAGCAUCGUAAAUACUUGAGCUCCAUCCAUCAAGAGUUUCUUCAUUUGAUUGCCGGUGAUGCUUUUGGUUUCAUAAUAGGAUUCAAUGAGGUUCUUAGUGUGAAGAAGAUCUUUGCUCCUGACCUUGGCACGGUUUUGAUGAAGACACCAACAUCACCAAAAAGAAGAAAAGGAAGAAUACUUAUGAAGACAAAGAAGAUUAAAGCUUCAAGAAGAUUAGAAUAAGUCUCUAUAGGUACUUCUAUCAUAAAACUCUUACUUAUGCAAAGUAGCAAUGCUCAAAUUAUUUUUAAAGAAUAAUGAAACACUUUGAAAAUACUUAAAACAAUUUUUGAAAAGAUGUGUAACGGGUUACUUAAUUCAAGUAACAAGUUACAUGUGAGAGAAAAAGAGUUAUCCAACUUAAAACUGCUCAGAGUAAUCCAUUACUACAUUUGAGUAACAGAUUACCAGUUUUACAAAAGUUGAGUAACCGAUUACCCAAAUGGUGUAAUCGAUUAUUCAAAUUCGAAUUUAUAAAUUCAGUGGACAGAAUGUUUGGGUAAUUGAUUACCCAAUGUAAGUAAUCGAUUACUGAGGACUGUUGAAAGUGAUUUCAGAUUUCAAAACGAAAAGUUUUCCCUCCAAACAAAAUCACUUCACUCCAAACAACUCCUACACUUUCAGAAAGGCACCUUGGAUGUUUGGAAAGCCUAUAUAAAGACUCUAACCUCUCAAAACAUCAACACACAACUUUCCCAACACUCUCAUAAAUUCUCUCACUGUUUUUCUGCACUUUUGCACUAAGUUCUUAAUCUUUCAAAAGAGAAUUUAUUCUGAGUAAUUGCUUCAAAAUGUUUUCACAAUUAUAUUGAGCAUUAUUACUAAGCAUACAAAGAGAGUUGAUUGGAUUGAAAGUGAUAUAAUAUUUCAUACCUGUAAAGGCAAUCCAAAGCCAUUGUUGUAACUCUGCAUUCAUUGCAAACAAUCUUUCUUUCACAGGGUGUGAAUAGAAAGGAGAUAGAGUGACUUGGAAAAAGGUAUAAAUAUUAGUUAGUGUGUAAGGUACAGAGAGAUCUCAGGGUGAGAUAUUGUAAUUAUAACUCUUAAUAUUUAGUGGAAAGUCUCUUGUGCUGCAAGAGUACUGGACGUAGCCUUCAGUGGACAAGAAGGUGAACUAGUAUAAAAUACUUGUGUACUCUCCUUUCCCUUUCCUCUUUACUUUAUACUUGUUUAUUUUCUGCAAUAUUAUCCGCUGCACAUUAACUCUUACAUUUUGCAUAUAAAGUUACUAUAAUUUUAAGUCAACUAAUUCCCCCCCCCCCCCUCUUAGUUGCAAUCCUAUUCUUACACUAAGGGCUGAGCCGCACCAUGUAGAGGGGUGAGCCUAUUCGUCGGAAGUGUGUUGUGGGAGGAUUUGGCAGUCGGAUAAAUUUUGAACCUUUGUCCCUAUCGAUUUUGGUGGUUACCUUUUCUGUUCGCACCGGACAUAGCACAACCGGCGGCACCAUGUGUUUCUAUUUGCUUUCUUGCCAUUGGCGUUGCGGGGAGUGGUUCAUAUGGUACCGUCGAGUAUGUCUAACUAGAGGACGCGUGAGUGGCAAUUGGGAUAUUUGUGUUUUCUGGCUCCAUGAUCAUGGUCAUCGAACUUUCUGCACACAACCCUUCCUAUGUUCGCCUUGUGUCAUUUCGGCCUCGGCGUUCAAUUAUGGUUCUUUAGUUGCCUACCCGUUAAGUGGUAUUCAUGUGCCUCUUAUGACCCAUUCCAUCUAGACCCCUUCUAGAGGUUGUUGGAGGAUUCGAAAGUGAUGUAUGUGAUGUAUUAGCUGUGAAUUAUGAUGGCUUGCAUUCUCACAUGUGUCUAGUGUUCUGUUGGAUUCGGUGCCUGCAGCGAUCGCGGGUUGAUGAGACUACCCUACUGAGUCCCAUUGAUUAAUCGGUUUCCUUGAAUGACACUUUGUCGUGGUGUCAGUCUUGCUUAAUCGUUUACGGUGGCAACACUUGCACGUCAAGCAAAGUCAUUGAUGGAUGCUACCUGGUUGAUCCUGCCAGUAGUUGUAUGCUUGUCUCAAAGAUGAAGCCAUGCAUGUGUAAGUAUGAACUAAUUCAGACUAUGAAACUACGAAUGGCUCAUUAAAUCAGUUAUAGUUUGUUUGAUGGUAUCUACUACUCGGAUAAUCGUACUAAUUCUAGAGCUAAUAUGUGCAACAAACCCCGACAUCUAGAAGGGAUGCAUUUACUAGAUAAAAGGUGGGCGCAGGCUUUGCCUAUUGCUUUGAUGAUUCAUGAUAACUCGCUUAAUCGCACGCCCUUUCUACCGGCAACGCAUCAUUCAAAUUUAUGCCCUAUCAACUUUCGAUGGUAGGAUAGUGGCCUACCAUGGUGGUGAUGGGUGACGGAGAAUUCGGUUUUGAUUCCAUAUAGGGAGCCUAAGAAACGGCUACCACAUCCAAGGAAGAUAGCAGGUGCGCAAAUUACCCAAUCCUGACACGGGGAGGUAGUGACAAUAAAUAACAACACCGAGCUCAUUGAGUCUGGUAAUUAGAACGAGUACAAUCUAAAUCCCUUAACGAUGAUCCAUUAGAGGCAAGGUUGGUGCCAGCAACCGCGGUAAUUCCAGCUCCAAUAGCGUAUAUUUAAGUUGUUAUAGUUAAAAAUCUCGUAGUUGGACCUUGGGUUAGGUCGACCAGUCCGCCAUUGGUGUGCACCAGUCGGCUCAUCCCUUCUGUCGGUGAUGCGCUCCUGGCCUUAACUCGCGGGGUCGUGCCUCCGGCACUGUUACUUUGAAGAAAUUAGAGUGUUCAAAGCAAGCCUACGCUCUAGAUACAUUAGCAUGUGAUAACACCACAAGAUUCUGAUCCUAUUGUGUCGACCUUCGGGAUCGGAGUAAUGAUUAACAGGGACAAUCAGGGGCAUUCAUAUUUCAUAGUCAGAGGUGAAGUAUGGUCACAACGCUGAAACUUAAAGGGCACCACUACGAGUGGAGCCUGCGGCUUAAUUUGACUCAAUAUGGGGAAACUUACCAGGUCCAGACAUAGUAAGGAUUGACAAGCUUAGAGCUCCUUCUUGAUUCUAUUGGUGGUGGUGCAUUGCCGUUCUUAGUUGGUGGAGCGUUUUGUCUAGUUAAUUUCGUUAACGAACGAGAUCUCAGCCUGCUAACUAGCUAUGUGGAGGUAACUUUCCACGACCAGCUUCUUAGAGGGACUAUGGCCACAUACGCCACGAAAGUUUAAGGCAAUAACAAGUUUGUGAUGCCCUUAGAUGUCCUGGGCUGCACGUGCGCUACACUAAUGUAUUCAACGAGUCUAGCCUUGGCCGACAGGCCUAGGUAAUCUUUGAAAUUUCAUCGUGAUGGGGAUAAAUCAUUGCAAUUGUUAGUCUUCAACGAGGAAUUCCUAGAAAGCGCGAGUCAUCAGCUCGCGUUGACUAUGUUCCUGCCCUUUGUACACACCGCUCAUCACUCCUACCGAUUGAAUGGUCUGGUGAAGUGUUCGGAUUGCAACGACGUGGGCGGUUCAUUGUCGGCAACGUUGUGAGAAGUCCACUGAACCUUAUCAUUUAGAGGAAGCAAAAUAAAAUUAUCUGGAAAACUUUGAUUGUCGGGCUUUAGAGUAUGAAUCAUCUUAAAACUUGCCCUAGUUUGAGAGGCUUCCAGUUUUCUUUUGCUUUUAGUGCUCUUUACUUCAUGCAUAAUGUAACACCCCGAAAAUAAUUUCUAUUUAAUAUAUUUAAUCUCUUAGAAAAAUGUGUAAAAUUGUCUUUUAUGUAACCUAUAACUUACAAAUAAUUUUCACUUUUACCUUAUUCCAUUUACAAGAUUGUCAAAUUUUCAAACCUUGCGGAAAUAAAAUUCUUAAUACGUUGAAGAUAAUUAAAUGAAUACAAUUCUGUUCUGAAUACUUCUCAUUCAUAAAAUUCUUGAAUAAAUAUAGAAUUGUUUACAUGGCGAAAUCUAAUCUUCGCCACAAAUAAAAAAAACUGAAAAUACAAAGAAAAUAAUGUCGGGGCAUUGGCAUUACAAAAAGUACCUUUGACAGGUUCCUAUCACAACAAAACAAAAGAGAAACCUCCUAAACCGGACGCGCACUGGAAGCCUCGCUAGGGUCUUCCUCCACCUCCGAGUCAGAAGAGAUCUCAAUGACCUCAACUGAAUCUUCUAUGCAGAUAAGCUCUACACACUCGACGUUGUCUUCCUCCUCCUCUUCCUCCACUUCAUCCGCUCCCCAAUCCAUCGAGGGGUCCGGGGUCUACCCCCUUGGCAUAGCCCAGUCUGUCCCUCUUGGCGCCGAUCCUAAUGUUGAGAAUCCUGUUUGGGGCCAGGUCCGAACAACUUCUCGUACGCCUAGAGCAUCAGCCAGUACAGAAAGUCCGACGGUUGUAGGUCUUCGGUCGGGCAAAGUGAAUGAUGCCUCCUAAACUGCGUAGUAAGGUGGAAGAUGCAGAACUAAGCCAUUGUUUACCCAAUCCAUCUCUAGGGUGCAAGGACCUGUGUAAGUGUGUCGAUUACCCUCAACACUCCAUGUCCCCUCUUGGGACAUAGUGAAAUGUUAACCUCAGAUCAGUGCUGAUGGGUCCAUCUGAAUAUGUGUACACAUACACCAGAAGAAAAGAGAGGGAGUAAAACAUCUAUGAAAAACUUGUCAUCGAUGUCGUCGAAUUAUACGGAAUAAUACACCAAGAGAACACACGAGUACAUAUAUAUCAUAUGCUCAUACAAGCAUAUAAUAAUGAGGAAUGAAGUAUAAAACUCGAGAAUUUAGAAUCAAUAUCGACGGAUAUCAUGUGUGCAAUGUGAUAUAUGAGUCCACCAUCCUUACUCCUUUAUCCUCCCAAUAACUAUUCGGAAAUAACCGAGAGUACAAUUCCCAUAACAAGCUGAUUUGAUCGCACCAAAAUUAUUCCUCGCAAGGAUAUAUGAUCGAUCUGUUCCAACGGAACUGUCCAUUUCAGGAUGGUGUUGUAUCAAACACUUUAUGGUCAUCCCUCUCAUUGAUCUUGAUUGCAAAGAGUGGUUGUCAAAGAUCGUCUAGUUUGCGUUGUGAGCACUGUCUGAUCCAACAUAAUACCUCACCCUGGAAACAGCUCAGCCGGAGGUUGAGUCCAACGGCUGGAAGAGACCCACACGUCGCGUGAUGUCUGGUGCACCCUGACGGCCGUUGAAAAUCCGGAGAACCGAGUGCCUCCCACACCCGCUCAUACUCAUAACUGCAUCAGGUCUCCAAGGUGAACAACCUCUUAUCGAUGGUACAAUGUAGGCAAAGGAAGUCGGAAAAAUGGAUCCGUAACCUCGGGAAAAGGAUUGGCUCUAGCAGCUUGGCACGAGGGUCCCAGUCGCCAACUCGUCGGCUGUCGGUGGACUGCUUGAGCUGCUCUCGCGGCGGGAGUGGGUCGUCGCGUGUCGGUCGGAGGACGAAUUGGAACGAUCCCUUCGAAUGUUGACGCCAAGCAUUGCAGUGGUCCCUAUGGAUGUUGACGCAUUGUCAUUUCUGCCUAGUGCUCUGAAUCUCAAAGUGAAGAAAUUCAACCAACAAAGGGUAAACAGUGGGAGUAACUAUGACUAUGACUUUCUUAAGGUAGCCAAAUGCCUCAUGAUCUAAUUAGUGAUGCACAUGAAUGGAUUAACGAGAUUCCCAUUGUGCCUGUCUACUAUCCAGCUACACCACAACCAAGGGAACGGGCUUGGUAGAAUCAGCGGGGAAAGAAGACCCUGUUGAGCUUGACUCUAGUCCGACAUUGUGAAAUGACUUGAGAGGUGUAGGAUAAGUGGGAGCUGGAAAUAGCGGAAGUGAAAUACCACUACUUUUAACGUUCAUAACGACGUUGCUUUUUUAUCCUUCGAUGUCGCCUCUUCCUAUCAUUGUGAAGCAUAAUUAACCAAGUGUUGGAUUGUUCACCCACAUACAAAGAAUGUGAGUUGGGUUUAGACCGUCAUGAGACAUGUUAGUUUUACCCUACUUAUGACAGUGUCACAAUAGUAAUUCAACCUAGUACGAGAGGAACUGUUGAUUCGCACAAUUGGUCAUCGCGCUUGGUUGAAAAGCCAGUGGAGCAAAGCUACCAUGCAUUGCAUUAUGAGUAAACGCCUCUAAGUCAGAAUUCGGGCUAGAAGCGAUAAGUGUGCCUGUCGCCCAUUUUCCAACUAGCGGUAGGGGGCCUCGGCCCCCUAGAGGCACGUGCCAUUGGUGACCCCCGCGGCCUCGUGGUACGCCUUGAAGCGUUAUUCCCCAUUGGGCGAUGGGUGGAAUCCUUUGCGGACGACUUAAAUACCUGACGAGGUAUUGUAGGUGGCAGAGUGGCCUUGCUUCCACGAUCCACUAAGAUUCAACCCUUGUCGUUUCGAUUCGUCUCUCCCAUCUCAAACCUUAUUUGGAGUUAGGUCGUACACCCUACAAGGCUUACGAACCCGCACCUCGUAUGGGCGACGAGGCGAGUAGGUUCAAAGUCCACGUUCCUCAAGCACACGGUAGAGACGAAGAUACUUACAAUGUGGAGUGCGGCAUCGCCUCUAGCCAUGCCCCAUGGUUCCUUGUGUGUUGUUCAUGGUGUCCGGUGGUUGGGGUGCUUUGUGCCUGGUAUGGUUCCUCAUGUGUGAUCCUGAGUGCAAGGUGAAAGAGAGGCCAUGACACAUGUGUCUAAGUGUUAUUAGGUGAAAUUGAGGCCAUUACACACUUUCCGAGUGCUAGGUGAAAGUGACCCAUUCCGUGGCAUAUGUUCCGAGUUGUAGGUGAAAGUGACCCAUUCUGUGGUACAUCUUCAGAGUGCUAAGUGAAAGUGACCCAUGCCAUGGCACAUGGUCCGAGUGCUUGGUGAAAGUGACCCGUGCCUCGUGUGAGAUUCUUGCUUAUCUCACAUUCCCUAUUUCAGUGAAAGCAUCGCACGAAGCUAGCCCCUUCAUGAAAUGCCUCCAUAUUUGGAGAGGAGCCUAUGAUUAUUUAGCCAUGGUUGCCACUAAAGUUUCACGUAAGAAUUCAACCCCCAGGCGAUGUUGCCCGUCAUGGCACCAUCGCGUGUCCUACACUUCGGUGGAAAAUCAUUUGAGGUAAAUGCCUCGAUGUUACAUGGGCGUAACUUUGGGAAAUGUUUAGGAAUAAUGCUCCUAGCAUUCCUACAAAAGAACAGCUCAAAAAACAUGGUACACACUCGUUAUCUAAUUUUCGAGGAAUUAUGUAAAGCUCGUCACUUGGAAAAAUUAUCAAAAUUUAUUGCCUUGGAGUAAAAUCAUGUAACUUCGUUGACCACUAGCUCCUAUUCUUAUAAGCACAUGUGCAAAAACUCAUGGAAAAAUUCGACCUCUAGCCUAAAAAACCCAGUAUGUCUUCCAAAAAAAAGGUUUUCCAGUGGUGCAGAGUGGGCUUCUGCAUAUUAGCCUACUAUAUGGGGGCAAGCUGCCUUCCUACCCACACACCUUGGUGGGCCAGGAUGGCGAGCUAUAGGGCUCCCUCGAACGCCCCAACAAGCUAUCCCAGGCAUGCUGGUGCAUUUUUCCAUGGGGAUGUGGGCAAUUCGACCGAGUCAUCUUCUAUGCCGAAUCCCGGUCGCACGCGGCCAGCUGCAGGCUGGUGCUUUGGCUUGGUGUUGUCCGACACCUAGAACUUAUUGAGGAUGCAUCAAGGGCUUAGACUGUUCCUCGCGGAUCAACUUGGAUUUCUUGAUGCGAAAGUGUCUUUUGUCGAGGUGCCGGCAUCAUCACACAAUGCCGAGUUGGGUAGCUGCGGGCAUUGCUCGGACGUGCCGAGGCUUCUAGUGUUGCACGUUCUUUACAACAGGAUGUGGUGUUAGGUGAUGCCUUUAGUGGCACAGCCGGAGCACGAAGGGGCACAAGUCCAGUCAUCCGAAAUUGUGUUGUGGGCAGGUUGGCAUGGUUUUAGUCCAGGUGCAGUCGUUUAUGUCUCAUGCAACAAAGUGUCUUGUGUAGGCCUGUCCCUCAGAGAAGUGUGUAGUGUUGAGGUGCUGGUUUGGUCACAUGGUGCUGGUUCGAUAGUUGCGGGCUUCCGUCCGACUUGCCGAGGCUUCUAGUGUGUCAAGUUGUGCACGAAAGGAUGUGGUGUUGGGUGAAGCCCUUAGGGGCAGAUCACCCCAAAGUGUGUUGUCGGCGGGUUUGCACGGUUGAGGUCAAGGUGCGGUUGUGUAUGAAUCGAGCAAAGAAUGCGGCUUGUGUAGGCUCGUCCCUCGGGAAAGCGUGGUUUGUUGACGUGUUGGUUUGGUCGCACAAUGCCAAGUGGGUUAGUUGCAUCCGCCAUGCAGACAUUUUGACGCCUCUAGUGUGACUCGUUCUACACAGAAGGAUGUUGUGUUGGGUGAAGCCUUAAGGGGCACAACUGCAGCACGAAGGAGCACAAGUCUAAUCGUCCGGAAGUGCGUUGUGGUCGAGUUUGCAUGUUUUGAAGUCUCUAUGGGGUCGUGUCUGACCCAAGCUAAACUAUGCGGUGUCUAGGCUCGUGCCUCGUUAAACUGUGGUCUGGUGAUGAUCUAGAUCGGUGACACGGUGGCGAUGUAUGUACAUGUGGGCAUUUUCUGGAUGUGCCCAGGCUUCUCGUGUGACCUGUUGUGCACCGAAUUAUUAGGUGAUGCCUUCACAGAAGUACAUGAGAGGCCCACCACUGAGAAGCAGCAGGGGGCUUUUGCCCCAUAAUGUCUCGCUCGGUUUGUGAUCUGCUCUAGUUGGGAGAUUUAUGCAGGAUGCCUUGAAGCACCAUUCUCUACUUGGUGCUCUAAGAGUCUUUUGAGUGACUUAAAUAGUAGGGCACUUCGGAAUAGGCUGACUAGACUUGCUGUUAUGAUGCACUUUGAUUUUUCUCCUGUCGCCUUGUUUUGUGCCACCAGCCUCCAACUUUUUAAGUUCUAGUUCGUACACCCAAUGAGGCUUGUGGAGUAGCAACUCGUGUGUGUGGUUAGUCGAAUUGGUGCAACGAAAAUCCACGAGGGCGCAUAGUCCCUUAUUCGAGUGAUAGGUGAAAUAGACCCAUGCCAUACACACUUUCCAAGUGGUAGGUGAAGGUGAUGGCACAUGUUCCAAGUGGUUGAUGAAAGUGACUCGUGCCUCGCAUGAGAUUAUUGCUUCUGUCGCAUUCCCUAUUUCGGUGAAUGCAUCAUAAGACGCCGACCCCUUCAUGAAAUGCCUCCAUAUUUGGAGGGGAACCCAAUUUUUUUUUUCCAUGGUUGCCUGCAAAGUCUCAAGUCCGAAUUCAACUCCUAUGCGAAGUUGCUCGUCAUAGCACCAUGGCGUGUGCCACACUUUGGUGGAAAAUCAUUUGAGGUAAAGGCCUCGAUGUUACAUGGGCGUAACUUUGGGAAAUGUUUAGGAAAAAUAUUCCAAGCCUUCCUGCAAAAGAACAGCUCAAAAAACAUGGUACACACUCAUUUUCUAAUUUUCGGGACUAAUCUAAUGCUCGCCGUUUAAAAAAUUACGAAAAAUUAUCGGAUUGGCGAAAAAUUGUGAAACUUCAGGGAAAAAUUCGACCUCUAGCCUCAAAAAACCCGAGAUGUGAUGUGAAUCUAUUUGAGAGGAUUCAGAAUUUUGUUUUGAUCGUUCUUGAAUGUAAGUCUUUGAGAAGAAUAUGGGAUUUUUGCACCUUGAAACUUGUUAUAUUUUUUAUUGGUUUUUGUUUUGGAUUUUUGUUUGGCCGUGGGAUAUGAUUAUGUGGUUUGGUUUUUGGGUUGUUUUUGGUGAGUGUUUGGACGUGGGUUUUGGGAUGAAGGUUGAGUGAGUUUGUGGAUUGUUAAGGGAAUUGUGUAUGGGUAUUUGUUGUUGGUUGUAUGUGAGGGGAUUAUUUUGGUCGUGUAUGGUUUAUGGUUAAGUUGAUAGAAGAAGAUGGAUUAGAUAGGAAGAUGAAGGCGCCACAAGCUUGAUUGCUUGAUAAGCCUAAUGUAUUUCGCCACAAGGAAGAGAACCUUGAUAAGAAAGGGCCUUGGUUUAACCAAGAAACUAGGAGAAACUCAACUAGCAAUUGAUUAUUUUCCAAAUAAAAUUCAAGUUAAUUUAUUCAAUAUCAAAGCCAAGUACAAAUAUCCAUGGAAUUUUCGGCCAAGCUAUGUGCAUAAAGAGUAGUAAAGUACAUUGAAUAUUCCCCUAACUCUUUUCCCCCAUGUGUUUUCGGUUUGGGGGGGAAUUGCAAGGUGUAUUGAUGGCUUCCCUUAAUCUAAUUCCCAUGUGCUCUUUUUGGUUGAGGUGGAAAUUUGAAUUUGAAAAUGAUUCUCCAUGGAGUAAAUGUCCAAAUUCGGUUGAGGAGUGAAUAAGGAAACAAUCAUUUUGUCUUCAUGGCUUUCCUUUAUGGUGUGUCUCGUGUAAAGGAGAAUAUCUCCUUGAUGAUUAUUCCCACUCCUAGUAAUUUGAAUAAGGAAGGUAUUGAUGGAUUCUAAUUUGAGUUCAAUGCUUUGGAGUGAAUAAGGAAACAAUCAAUUUGCCUUCUUUGGUUUCCUUGAUUUACCUCGUGUGAAUAGAGGGAUUCUCUAUGAUGAUCACACCCAACACAUGCUUGAUUUGAAUAAGGAAGGUCUUGAUGAGCUCUCAUUCUGAUUUGAAUCUUUAAGGAAAGUUUUGCCUUGCUCCUUGAUUCUCAUUCACACGCCUCCUUGAUUAGGAAAUAGAUGGAAUUUGUUUGAUUGCUCUUGAUUGUUUCCAUAUAGGGAUCUUCCACACUUGCUCUUCAAAUUAGGAUAGGAUUCUUUGAGAUCUUAUGGCCUUUAAGGGUGAUCUCACGGCUUGGCUCACUAAGGAAAGUGUUCCCUUGCUUGUACCUGGAUUACAUGGUUCUUAAUGAAAUUUAUUACAACUAUAAGUUCAAGUAUAAUGCAAAUAGUAAUUGUUCUUCCAAAUAAGGUAGGAAAAUAAUUCCUAGACUAUAUGUGGGUAUGAUAAUCCCCACUUAUUAAAUGGGACUCCCACAUGCCUCAAGUGUUCCCUCCUUGGCCGUGGCCAACUUGGGUUACUUCUACAAAAAUGGUGCAAUGUAUGGGCCUGAUUUCCUUGUUGGGCUUUGUUGACUUGAUCAUUUGUUCCACUAAUAGGUUGAGAGUUUGGUGUGCCUUCUUGGUUUUGGACCGGGUCAUGGGCCCUCCUAGCCCACUUAGCUCUUCCUCAUUGAUGGGCCUUGGUGGAUUCAUAUCAGGAUGUCUUCCCAGAGAAAAGGAUAUCCCACUCGAAAUUCUUGAUGCGUGCGUCUCACUUGUCAAAGUUCUGGUUUGGUGACUCAGUGACGGGUUGGGUAGUUGCUGGUGGCGGGCAUGCUGAGGCUUCUAAUGUGACCCUUUUUGCACGGAAGGAUGUGUUGUUAGGUGAAGCCUUCAGGGGCAUAGACGUAGCACGAAGGGGCGCAAUUCCAAUCAUCCGGAAGUGUGUUGCGGGCUGGUUUGCACGGUUGAAGUCAAGGUGCAGUCGUCUAUGAUGCUAGCAACAAUGUGCCUGAGGUAGGCUUGUCUCUCAGAAUGUGUUGGUUGUUGAGGUGUUGGAUUGGGCCCACGAUGCGGAGUUGGUAGUUACGGCAUCCCAUAGACGUUUUGAGGCUUCUAGUGCGACCAUUCCUGCACGGAAGGAUGUGGUGCUGGAUGAAGCUCUUAGGGGCACAACUGCAGCACCAAGGGGCGCAUGCCCAAUCAUCUGAAAGUAGUGUGUUUGCGGCUGGUUUUCAUGGUUGAAGUCAAGGUGCGGUGCUGUAAGACGCAUGCAACAAUGUUGCGCGUAGUAGGCUUGUCCCACGGAAAUAUGUGCGCACCUCAAGAAAUAUGUUUACACCUAGGCGUAUAUGUUAGGUGAUGCCAUAAGGGCUGAGCCGCACCAUGUAGAAGGGUGAGCAUGUUCGUCGAAAGUGCAUUGUGGGUGAAUUUGGCAAUCGGAUAAAUUUUGAACCCUGAUCUCUAUCGAUUUUGGUGGUUACCUUUUGUGUUUGCACCUAACGUAGCGGAUCCGACGGCACUAGGUGUUUCCAUUUGCUUGCUUGCCAUUGGCAUUGUGAGGAAUGGUUCGUAUGGUACUAUCGAGUCUGUCUAACGGGAGGGCGGGUGAGUGGCAAUUGGUAUGUUUGUGUUGUCUGCUCCAUGAUAAUAGUCAUCUAACUUUCAGCACACAACCCUUCCCAUGUCCGCCUUGUGUCAUUUCAGCCACAUCGUUCAAUUAUGGUUCUUGUGUUGCCUACCUGUUAAGUGGUAUUCAUGCACCUCUUAUGACCCGUUCCAUCCAGACCCCUUCUAGAGGUCAUUGGAGGAUUUGAAAGUGAUGUGUGUGAUGUUUUAGUUGUGAAUUAUGAUGGCUUGCGUUCUCACACGUGUCUAGUGUUCCCAUGGAUUCGGUGUAUGCGGCGAACGCAGGCUGAUGAGUCUGCCCCUUUGGGUCCCUUUGAUAUAUCGGUUCCCUUGAAUAACACUUUGUCAUGGUGUCGGUCUUGCUUAACAGUUCGCGGUGGCAUAACUUGCACGUCGAGCAAAGUCGUUGAUGGAUACUACAUGGUUGAUCCUGCUAGUAGUCAUAUGCUUGUCUCGAAGAUUAAGCCAUGCAUGUGUAAGUAUGAACUAAUUCAGACUCUGAAACUGCGAAUGGCUCAUUCAAUCAGUUAUAAUUUGUUAGAUGGUAUCUACUACUCGGAUAACCAUAAUAAUUCUAGAGCUAAUACGUGCAACAAACCCCAACUUCUGGAAGGGAUGCAUUUAUUAGAUAAAAGGUCGACACAGGCUCUGCUUGUUGCUUUAAUGAUUCAUGAUAACUCGUCGGAUUGAACGACCUUUAUGCCGAUGAAGCAUCAUUCAAAUUUUUGCCUUAUCAAAUUUCGAUGGUAGGAUAGUGGCCUACCAUGGUGGUGACGGGUGACGGAGAAUUAGGGUCCGGUUCCAUAUAGGGAGCCUAAGAAACGGUUACCACAUCCAAGGAAGGCAGCAAGCACGCAAAUUACCCAAUCCUCACACGGGGAGGUAGUGACAAUAAAUAACAAUAUCGGGCUCAUUGAGUCCGGUAAUUGAAAUGAUUACAAUCUAAAUACCUUAACGAGGAUCCAUUGGAGGGCUAGUCUGGUGCUAGCAGCCGCGGUAAUUCCAGCUCCAAUAGCGUAUAUUUAAGUUGUUAUAGUUAGAAAGCUGGUAGUUGGACCUUUGGUUGGGUCGAUCGGUCCACCAUUGGUGUGCACUAGUCGGCUCAUCCAUUCUACCAGCAAUACGCUCCUGGCCUUAACUGGUCGGGUCGUGUCUCCAACGUUGUUACUUUGAAGAAAUUAGAGUGCUCAAAGCAAGCCUAUGCUCAGGAUACAUUAGCAUGGGAUAACACCACAAGAUUCUGAUCCUAUUGUGUUGGCCUUCGGAUCAGAGUAAUGAUUAACAAGGACAGUCAUUGGGAUUCGUAUUUCAUAUUCAGAGGUGAAAUUCUUGGAUUUAUGAAAGACGAAAAACUACGAAAGCAUUUGCCAAGGAUGUUUUCAUUAAUCAAGAACGAAAGUUGGGGGCUCGAAGACAAUCAGAUACCAUCCUAGUUUCAACCAUAAACGAUGUCGGCCAGGGAUCAGCAGAUGUUGCUUUUAGGACUCCGCUGGCACCUUAUGAGAAAUCAAAGUCUUUGGGUUCCGGGGGGAGUAUGGUCGCAAGGCUGAAAUUUAAAGGAAUUGACGGAAGGGCACCACCAGGAGUGGAGCAUGCGGCUUAAUUUGACUCAACACCGGGAAACUUACAAGGUCCAGACAUAGUAAGGAUUAACAAACUGUGAGCUCUUUCUUGAUUCUAUGGGUGGUGGUGCAUGGCCGUUCUUAGUUGGUGGAGUGAUUUGUCUGGUUAAUUUUGUUAAAGAAUGAGACCUUAGCCUGCUAACAAGCUAUAUGGAGGUAACCCUCCAUUGCCAGAUUCAUAGAGCGACUAUGGCCACUUAGGCCACAGAAGUUUGAGACAAUAACAGGUCUAUGAUGCCCUUAGAUCUUAUGGGCCACACUCACACUACGCUGACGUAUUCAACGAGUCUAUAGCCUUGGCCGAUAGGCCCAGGUAAUCUUUGAAAUUCCAUCGUGAUGGGGAUAGAUCAUUGCAAUUGUUGGUCUUCAACGAGAAAUUCCAUCAGCUCACGUUGACUAUGUCCCUGCCCUUUGUACACACCACUUCUCGCUCCUACCGAUUGAGUGGUCCGAUGAAGUAUCUGGAUUGCGACGAUGUGGACGGUUCACUGUCGGCGACUUUGUGAGAAGUCCACUGAACCUUAUCAUUUAGAGGAAGGAGAAGUCGUAACUAGGUUUCCGUAGGUGAACCUGCGGAAGAAUCUUUGUCGAAGCCUCAAAAGCAAUGCGACCCCGUGAAUCUGUUUUACUCCUCAAGGGUGGCUAGAGGUGUUUGGCACCUCGGUCCCCCUCGUGUUAGGAGGCACCACACCCUCUACGGUGUCCUCCUGGCCUAAUAACAAAACCCUGGCGUGGAACGCACCUAGGAAAUUGAAAUCGUUUAGUUCGCCCCCGUCGGCCCGAAGACGGUGCUCGUGCAGGAAAAGUUGUGACAUGCUUAUCCUAAAGACUCUCGGCACCAAAUAUCUCGACUCUGGCAUCGAUGAAGAACGUAGUGAAAUGCGAUACUUGGUGUGUAUUGCAGAAUCCCAUGAACCAUCGAGUCUUUAAAUGCAAGUUGUGCCCGAAGCAAUUAGGUCGAGGGCAUGCCUGCCUAGGUAUUGCACAUCGUUGCCCCAUGCCUUGGCCCCGUGCUAGGCACCAAGCGGGGCGAAUGUUGGCUUCCUGCAAGUAAUGUCUCACGGUUGGUUGAAAACUGAGUCCACGGUGGAGGGCACUGUGAUGGAUGGUGGCUGAGCUAAUGCUUGAGACUGAUCGUGCGUGUCACUCCCACCAGCUUUGCAACUCUUUGAUCCAUGGGAAUAUGUUGGCCUCCUAAUACGGGAACAUCAGGUCAAGCGGGGCUACCCGCUGAGUUUCAGUAUAUCAAUAAGUGGAGGAAGAGAAACUAACAAGGAUUCCCUUAGUAGUGGCGAGCGAACCGGGAAAAUCCAACCAUGAGAAUCAGUUGCCCUCGAUGUCUGAAUUGUAGUAUGGAGAAGCGUCCUCAACGGCGGACUGAGCCCAAGUCCCCUAGAAGGGGGCGUCGGAGAGGGUGAGAGGCCCGUCGUGCCCAGACCUUGUUGCAGCAUGAGGCGCUAUCAGCGAGUCGGGUUGUUUGGGAGUGCAGCCCCAAUCGGGUGGUAAAUUCCGUUGAAGGCUAAAUUGAGGCGAGAGACCGAUAGUGAACAAGUACCGUAGGGGAAAGAUGAAAAGGACUUUGAAAAGAGAGUCAAAGACUGCUUGAAAUUGUCGAGAGGGAAAGGGAUGGGGGCCGGUAAUGUGCCUCGGUCGGAUGUGGAAGGGCGAGAGCCGAUCCACCAAUCGACUUGGGACAAUGACCAACGCGAAUUGUGAUGGUGGCCCAAGAUUGGGCUAUUGACAUGCUCGUGAAGACGUCAUCAUCGUGAUUGUGUUAGGAAGUGUGCGUCGUUUCGUGUGCUUCGGCUCCUGCAUGCUCCGAGCGUCGGCCUGCAGGCUCCAUAUUCGACCCAUCUUGAAACACGGAACAAGGAGUUUGACAUGUGUGCGAGUUAGAGGACAAGUAAACCCCUAAGGCACAAUGAAGCUGAUUGGUGGGAUCCCCUUGUGGGUGGCACCGUUGACCGACCCUGAUCUUCUGUGAAGGGUUUGAGUGAUAGCAUACCUGUCGGAACCCGAAAGAUGGUGAACUAUGCCUGAGCGGGGCGAGGCCAGUGGAAACUCUGGUGGAGGCGAACAGCGAUACUGACGUGCAAAUCGUUCAUCUGACUUGGGUAUAGGGGCGAAAGACUAAUCGAACCGUCUUGUAGCUGGUUCCCUCCGAAGUUUCCCUCAGGAUAGGUAGAGCCUAUAGGCGAGUUCUAUCGGGUAAAGCCAAUGAUUAGAGGCAUCGGGGGUGCAACGCCCUCGACCUAUUCUCAAACUUUAAAUAGGUAGGGUGAUGUGGCUGCUUUGUUGAGCCACGCCACGAAAUCGAGAGCUCAGAGUGGGCUAUUUUUGGUAAGCAGAACUACCGAUGCGGGAUGAACCGGAAGUGGGUUACGGUGCCCAACUGUGUGCUAACCUAGACCCUACAAAGGGUGUUGGUUGAUUAAGACAGCAUGACGCUAGUCAUGGAAGUCAAAAUCUGCUAAGGAGUUUGUAACAACUUACCUGCCGAAUCAACUAGCCCCAAAAAUGGAUGGCGCUAAAGCGCGCGAUCCAUACCCAGCCAUCAGGGCAAGGGCCAGGCCCCGAUGAGUAGGAGGGCGUGGCGGUCGCUUCAAAACCUAGGGCGUGAGCCCGGGCGGAGCGGUCGUCGGUGCAGAUCUUAAUGGUAGUAGCAAAUAUUCAAAUGAGAACAUUGAAGGCCGACUAGGGGAAAGGUUCCAUGUGAACGACACUUGCACAUGGGUUAGUCGAUCCUAAGGGACGAGGGAAGCCCGUCUGAUAGCACUCUAAGUGUGCACUCCGAAAGGGAAUUGGGUUAAAAUUACUGAACUGGGACGUGGUGGCUGACGGCAACGUUCGGGUGUCCGGAGACCGCGGCGGGGACCCAGGAAAGAGUUAUAUUUUCUUUUUAACAGCCUGCCCAUCCUGGAAACAACUCAACCGCAGGUAGGGUCCAGUGGCUAGAAGAGCACUGCACGUCGCGUGGUGUCUACUACGCCCCCAAAUGCCCUUGAAAAUCUGGAGGACCGAGUGCCUCCCACGCCCGGUCAUACUCAUAACCGCAUCAGGUCUUCAAGGUGAACAACCUCUGGUUGAUGGAACAAUGAAGGCAAGGGAAGUUUGCAAAAUGGAUCUGUAACCUCGGAAAAAUGGAUUCGUAACCUCUAGUCGAUGGAACAAUGUAGACGACUUUCCUUGUUACACAAACCACACAAAAAAUAGAGUAAUGUGAAGCACAAAAUAGCUCAAAUAUUAUAAAAUAGCUCACAAUUACUAAGAAUAUGUAUAAGAUCAGAAUCAUGAAGAACAUGUAAUUUCUACCCUUAAGAAAUCUCUAAACAGUAAUGAAAGAAUCAUGCAAGAACAAGAUAGGAUGAUGAACACAUUUGAUAAUAUGCAAUGAAUGACAUGUUAAUCUUUAAGCAUAAUACUAUCUCACUCUAAUCUCACAUGCAAUUUUGUCUGCAUAUAUGACAUACAAAGAAUAUGAAAGUAUGCAACUUAGCAGUUCUAAUAUGAAUGUAUUCAUUCGUAUAUGAAAUCUGUUGAAAAUACAGUUUAUAUAGAAAAACAGUUUUGCACCCAGUUAAUCGACUAUGUUGCUUCUUAAUCGAUUAAUGGGUUGUUAGAGAGUAACUGAAUUCUGUUUUUCAGUUAUCUGUUGAAACUGUUAAAAACUAUUUUCACGUUAAUCGAUUAACUAGCAUAUUUUCAAUCUAGGUUUACCUAACCUAGACUCAAUAACUAAGACACAUCUAAGAAUCUAGUCUAGACAUGAAGCUCUUGAAUCUUUGGCAUGUUGAUUUGUUGAGUUGUCUUUAAGCUUUCACUAAGUCCUUUGUCUUCAUUAAAACAUAGGCAAGCUUAAGUGCUCUCUUGACACAUUGCACUUUCAAUCUCCCCCUUUUUGAUGAUGACAAACUCAACACCAAAUUUGUUUUGAUGCAUAGCUUGAAGAUGAUCACAAAAUGAAUGGUUGUUGAUUUCAAAGUUAAAGUGCAUGGCUAGACAACAGAAGCUUAGUAUUAUUUACAACCUGCACACAUUAAACAACAAAACAACCUUUCUCCCCCUUUUGACAUUAUCAAAAAGAUAAACUAAAUGAAACUUUGGUCAAAAGUAAGAAGAGAUAUGAAGUGAACUCAAACUGUAAUUAAUCAAUUAAUUUUGAGAAUGUAAUUAAUUAACCAGUUGAUGAAAUAAUUGAACAAGCGCACACAUUUACCAACAUUUAAUCGAUUAAAAUAGUGGGUUAAUCGAUUAAAAUAGUAGGUUAAUCGAUUAAAAUAGUAGGUUAAUCGAUUAAAAUAGUAGGUUAAUCGAUUAAAAUAGUAGGUUAAUCGAUUAAAAUAGUAGGUUAAUCGAUUAAAAUAGUAGGUUAAUCGAUUAAAAUAGUAGGUUAAUCGAUUAAAAUAGUAGGUUAAUCGAUUAAAAUAGUAGGUUAAUCGAUUAAACCAACAGAAUAUACAGCAAUAUCAUAGAUUUAAUGGCAUGGAGGGUUAUACAUGAAACAAUCAAGCAUGGAAUGAUCAAACAUUUACAUUAUAGCAUUCAAACAGUAGGCUCAAUCAAACAUAAGAUAUACAUAUAACCAAACAUGAUCAAGAACCAUUAAACAUGCAAUCAUGCCAUUUGACAUAUAUAAGCAAAACGAAACCACAAUAGGAAUGAUUUAAGUUGAAAUGACAUGCAUAUGAAGUCAUAAAAUUGCAGCAAUAGUAGAUAGUUAGAGUUACACUCCAGAAAACAUAGAGAAAAAUAUGUCUCGAAAUUACAAAGCAGCAUAAAUCCUGAAAAUUAGCCAUAUUGAAGGACUAAACCUAGGGUAAUCUAAGAUCUAAGGCCUUAUAAUCUAGGGAUGUAGAGGAGGAUCUCUGUUAUUAGUUACGGUCAGACUGCUAUCACCCUAGAUGAGGAAUUUCAGCUACUCAAACUCUGCACAAAACCUCUCAUUCUAUGCCUCAACCAUGUUCUAGAUAGAGCUCCUCAUAGCCUGAUAGUGGUUAUCGAUGUAAGCAACCUGACGCUCCUCAAAUUGUUCCAAAGCAGUAUGGUAGGAGUCCUUCAAAGACUGAAAGUGUAAGUCCAUCCUGUUGUUUAGCCUUUGCUCCAUGGCAUCUAACUGAGCUAAUCCAAAGGAUGAUUCCUGCGACGUAGUUCCAGAUGGCUCCCCGUGAGUUUCCGCAUUAGGCUGAUCUGUACCAGCCUGAUCCUCAUCAUCAGAUAGCUCCAAAUCCACUGUAGUAAAAUCUUCCUGGUAUUUCCAAGUACUUCCAUACUUGUAGAUACUUAUAUUGUGGAUAAGGCUUUCACCAACAAGGAGAUCUUUGUUAGAAGUCUCUGUGACGAUGGUGUCAAAUACGUCAAUAUGCAGAUAGUCAAUAAUUCUCGAUAUGAAGAUACUGUAGGGCAGCAAUUUGGAUUGCGAUAUAGAGACAUUAUACAUGACCUUCAGAAUUUCUUGAGGCCAAUUAUCCAUUAUAUUCUCCUUCACAACAUACAUAAAUUUCAGAUCAUUAACAGUAGGUUGUGCAUGAUUAGUGUUCCUAUGAAUAAAGAUGUACGCAAUCAAAUAGUGAAGCAAUCUAUUCUCUACCGAUAAAGAACCAACUUUAGUCAGUUCUCGCUGGACAUAUAGAUGGGGAACUCUCAUACAUGAUUUAUAUACCCCAGCAGCAUUGAAAUCAGCAAGCCAUUAACAAUCACCUAGGCUAACACUGGUAGUGGAUAAGCCACCCACAUUCUUAAAAAUGCUAUUAUCCAUCUCAAACAGAUUUCCCGAAAUCAUAGACCAAUAUCUACCAUCCUUAUAACAGAAGUUAGCGUAAAAUUCCUAAUCAAAGUGGGAUACAGAUUACCCGUUAAUUCCAAAAACAUUAAAGCUCCCUGAGCCUGCAUACCUUGUAGAAAUUCGAAAUUCUGUUCCGCCAUCCAAGUAAGAUCAACAUACUUUAUUUAGGUGGGUUUCCUUUCCAGAAAUUUGGACAAUCGGGUUUCCUAAAGUAUGAGUGAGUAGUAGGAAUCUCCACGGUCGUGCCUCACGUUCGGAUUUGAAGAUGAAUUAUUAGGAGGCCUACGAGUGCGUUGAGCAGUUGUCUUGAACCUCUUUGAAUGUCCCCUUUCCAUUGUUGAUUAAACACUGUGAGUAAUGAGAGGAGAAGGAGGAUAAGGGAGGGAUCCUAGAGCUUAGGGUUUGGAAUUGGGAAUGGGAUUUCUUGGGAAAUCGUGAAACAAUUUGGAUGAAUUGAGGUCCACAAAUGGGUAAAGGUGAGGUUUAAUACUUCUAUUAAGCUAAGAUUUCGAAUUUGUUGUUUGCAUUUGAGAUUUUCAUAAAAAAGGAGGAAGAUAGGGUUUGAAAAAGUGACAAAAAAACGCUUCUGAUUCUAAUAUAUAUGCUGCCAUUAAUCGAUUACGUGAUGCAUUUAAUCGAUUAAGCAGUGUAAAUAUUCCUGGUUUUCAGAAAAAUGAGCCUAGGUAAUCGAUUAAAAUAAAUAUUAAUGGAUUAAAUUUAGUAAAAACUGAAAUGUUUGCUACUGGAACUCAUUUUAAUCGAUUAAUAAGGAUAGUUAAUCCAUUAACUGGCAUCAGAUUUGCAUAAGCAAGAGGUUUUUGGGUUUUAGAAGCAUGCAAAGAUUUGUAAUAUUUAUCAAGCAGUUUUUACUCAAUCACAUAUACAUUUUCAGCUUGUCACACAAGAUCAUGAGUUAUAAUAGGAAUAUAAUGCAUUCGUAACAACUAUACAUUUUGAAACAUAGAAGACAUUAAUCAUGUGAAGCAUAUAAUAACAUUUUUAGAUGAUUUUAAUAAAGAUAGUUUUCAUCAAGAAUUCCAAGUUCUCUUCUAAGAACAUAGAAGGUAUCUCGUGAGAGAGGCUUGGUGAAAAUAUCAGCCAAUUGCUUAGAUGUUUCAACAAAUUCAAGCACACAAUCACCUUUUUUUACAGGGUCACGCAAGAAAUGAUAUCUAAUUUCAAUAUGCUUGGUUCUAGAAUGCAAAAAGGGAUUCUUGGAUAGGUUUAUGGCACUUGUAUUAUCACAUUUGAUAGGAAUCUUUUAUAGGUUAAGUCCAAAGUCCUUAAGUUGUUGCUUCAUCCAAAGGAUUUGAGCGCAACACACACCAAUGGCAAUGUAUUCCGCUUCGGCGGUGGACAAAGCAACACAUGCUUGCUUUUUACUAUGCCAUGCAACUAAGGAACUACCAAGUAAAUGAAAAGUCCCACUAGUGCUUUUCUUAUCCAACUUACAUCCCGCAAAAUCAAAAUCAGAAUACCCUACCAAGGAUAAUGAGGCAUCCCUAGGAUACCACAAUCCNNNNNNNNNNNNNNNNNNNNNNNNNNNNNNNNNNNNNNNNNNNNNNNNNNNNNNNNNNNNNNNNNNNNNNNNNNNNNNNNNNNNNNNNNNNNNNNNNNNNCCCACGAUAUUUGGUUACCUCAAAUGCUUUUCCCUUUUCAUCUUUAUCUAGAUAGCAUGCGGACGACAUAGGUGUUGAAUCCUCUUUACACUUUUCCAUAUCGAACUUCUUCAGUAAGUCUUUGCAAUAUUUCGAUUGAUGAAUGAAGAUGUUGCUUUCCAUUUGUUUGAUUUCAAGUCCAAGAAAGAAGGUCAUCUCACCCAUCAUUGACAUCUCAAAUUCACCCUGCAUCAACUCAGAAAACUAUUUACAAAGAAUGUGAUUAGUAGAUCCGAAGAUUAUAUAAUCAACAUAUAUUUGAACUAAAAGCACAUGAUUAUAUAAUAUACAAAUAAAGAGGGUAGUAUCAACCAUACCCUUCACGAACCCUUUUCCAAGAGGAAAGAGCUCAAUCUGUCACACCAAGCUCUGGGAGCUUGUUUCAGGCCAUAAAGGGCCUUUUUGAGCUUAUAUACAUGGUUUGGAUAAUUCAAAUUUUCAACGUCGGGAGGUUGAUCUAUAUAUACCUCAUUUUGAAUGUAGCCAUUCAAGAAGGUGCUCUUGACAUCCAUUUGAAAGAGCUUGAAGUUCAUAAUUGAUGCAAAGGAUAAAAGCAUCCUUAUGGCCUCUAAUCUGGCUACAGGAGCAUAGGUCUCAUCAUAAUCGAUGCCCUCCUCCUUGUUGUAGCCUUUCGCCACUAAGCGAGCUUUAUUUCUGAUUAUCAAGCUAGAUUCAUCCAAUUUAUUACGAAAGACCCAUCUAGUUCCAAUCACUGGAUGUUCUUUAGGCUUAGGGACAAGGUCCCAUACAUUAUUACGCUCGAACUAAUUUAGCUCUUCUUGCAUAGCUAUACCCCAAUGCACAUCCUCAAUGGCCUCAUCGAUGGUCUUAGGCUCGACUUGAGAUACAAAAACAACAAAGUUAGGUAAAAAGCUACGGGUUACCACCCCCAUAGUUAUAUCACCUACCACUUUAUCGGGUGGAUGAUCCUUCUUGGUCUUCCACGCGAUUGGCAAGUCCUGAUGCUCAUCUUGUACAGUUUGCUCUGCUUCUGCUUCUUUGUCCUAGUCCAUGUCCUUAGGGUAUGGUUCUUCAAAAGCACCUGCAACAUCAUCAGAGAAUACCUUUCUCUUCUCUUUUGGAGAAGAUUCAUCAAAAUGGACAUGCAUAGACUCUUCUACUUGCGUUGAAUAUUUAUUAAUGAUUCGAUAAGCUUUACUAUGCAAUGAAUAUCCCAAAAAUAUACCUUCAUCAGCUUUUGAAUCAAAUUUACUUAAAGCUCUUUUUCCAUUAUUUAAUAUAAAGCAUUUACACCCAAAAGCUACACGAUUACCUUUAUCGCAUAGUUGGCUGAUACUCAAGCGGUUAUGUUCCAGACCUUGAACAUAUAACACAUUUUCGAUCACAACCCGAUAUGAGUUGCCAAUUGUUCCGGUGCCAAGUAUCUUCCCUUUGUUAUUGUCUCCAUAAGUGACGAACCCUUUUUCUUGCACGGAUAGAUCUAGGAAUUUAGAUCUAUCACCCGUCAUAUGUCUCGAGAAAUUUAGAUCUAUCACCCAUCAUAUGUCUCAAGGAAUUUAGAUCUAUCAAGAUACAAAUGUUGUCCAUGUGCUCGAAGACAUACCUGCAAAACAUAGAUCACUUGCCUUUUUCAGGUACCCAAGUUAUGUUGGUUCCUUUUCUAUUAGUAACUAGGGAGUUAUCUCCCUUUUUCAUCCAUACAUACAUGUCACUAUGUAUAUCAUAUUUUCUAAUAUAACAAGAGUACGAAGUGUGGCCAUGAGUCCCACAAUAAAAGCAUGUAGGAACCUUUUUAUUAAAAAAUUUCUUAUUGGGCCGAUUAAUAGGUCUCCUAUAUGGUCUUCUCCUAUGCAUAGGGGGAAUAUAUCCUAGCCCGGUAUGGUCACCAACAUUCCUAGUUUUACUAAGAACAGUGUCUAACAUGUUUUGACUCUUUGUGAGUUUUGCGAGUUUUUCAUUUAAUCUCAAAUUUUCAUUUUUCAAAUCAUCGCUAGAAUUACAGACAGUUGGUUCAUAUAAAUUAUUAUCAAAGCAAUUGCAUGCAUUACAAGAAUAGAUCAAAUCUAAUGUUUCAUUUACCAAUUUUAUUUCAUAUAGUUCUUUUUGUAAUGAAUUUAUUUUCUGUUCAUUUAGCAGGAUUACUUUUUUCCUAUCGGAACUAAUCCUAGCUAAUUUCUUAAACUCAUCAUGCAUUUUGACAUACGCAUUAUACAAGUCCUCAUAAGGAGGAGAAUCAUCAAAUGAAGUAGAUGAGGUGUCAGAAUAUAUCUCGCUAUUUGCCUCUUUUGAAUUUGAGCAACAAGCAUCAUCUGUUCUCGUUAUUAAGCAUAGCUUUACCUCCUCUAGUACAUCCCAUACUAUAUAAUCUUUCUUCGAUUUAAAGUCCCGAGGAGUGCUCUUAUCUGAAUCAACCUUUUUGAGGUAAGUAGGACAUUGGAACCUCAUAUGUCCUGGCUUACCACAUUCAUGCCAAGUGAAGCGCUCUUUAGUCUUGCCUUUUCUGGUCGACUCCCACGCUUCAUUCUUCUAGAAACGUUUGAACCCUCCUUUCUUUAGAAAUUUCCCGAAUUUGCAUACGAGAAGGCUCAAGGUUUCUUCGUUUAUAUCUGAAUCAAAUUCAUCUUCUUCUCUCUCUUCUGUGGAUUGAGACUUUGUUGCCUUGAGAGAUAUACUUUUCUUUUUGCGAUCUGAUUUUUCGUGCACAGUCAGGCGUCCAAGCUCCAUUUCGUGCUCUUAAAGUUUUCCGAACAAAUACGCCAAAGGCAUGGAGUCAAGAUCCUUUGAUUCCAUAAUAGAUGUUACUUUUGGUUGCCAUCUUCUGUCAAGACAGCGUAAAACUUUGUUAGUAAGCUCACUUUUGUUAAACAAUUUACCCAAAGCAACUAAAUGGUUAACUAUAUGAGUAAAACGUUUUUGCAUAUCAGCUAUAGAUUCAUUUGGUUAACUAUAUGCUUGACUUUGCUAGUGUCUUCGUGAGUUACUUGUAAAGUGUCCCACAUUUCUUUAGCACAUUGGCAUUGUGAAACCCGAAAGAACUCAUCAUAGGAUAGGGCCGAUGUGAUGAUAUUUUUGGCUCGCAGGUUAUACUGAACCUUUUUGCGUUCAUCUUCAGUCCAUAGACUUUUUGGUUUAUUUAGAUUCAUCGUCCACCAAAUGUUGUGGAACGAAGGGCUCGUUGACUACGGAUUCCCAAAUAUCCGAGUCGAUGGCCUCUAUAAAUAUUUUCAUGCGAACUAUCCAGUAGGCAUAUCCUUCGCCAUUGAAAUCGGGAGGGCAGUUAAUGGAUGCGCCAUCACCGCCAAAAGGGUUGGUGGAACCCAUUUAAUUUCCCUAAUGGAUCACGCGGAUACGGUUGAUCUAGUAGGACGUACUAGCUCUGAUACCACUUGUUAGGUAUCAGUGAUAAAAUACACCUAGAAGGGGGGGUUGAAUAGGUGUCACGAUUCCCACUUACCGCUAUUUGCACCGAAGCCCUAUUCUGGAUAAUCACCUAGUUAAUUGAUUAAAACUCUGGCUUAAUCGAUUAAGUCGCGCAGAAUUAGCAAUUGCUGAAUGGCUCAAUUACAUAGCCAAUUACAAAUUAUACUGAAAUGAUAUAGCAAAUAUAUUUGAACAUAAAUGAUCUUUAUUUGGCAGUAAUACUAUAUUCAUAAUAUCAACUACAAUAGAGAUAAGGGAAAGAAACAGUUCGCAACAAGGUUUUUAUACUGGUUCGUUUUGCGGUCCACUGCAAAACUACAUCUAGUCCUCCCCUCUGAUCUGAUCUGGGAGAUUUUCUUCACUAAAAAUUGAAGCCAAUGUAUCUUACAUACACACUUCCAGUUACAAAACCUUGAACGCUACCUUCUUGAAUUCCCAGAACCUCUACCUUGGUUUGACCUUACUCAAUCGCCUAGGAAAACCUUCCCUACGAUCCAGCCCCAUCAAGAGUAUGUUCUAAACUCAAGACCUCCAAGUCUUGAUGAAGACUCUCUGAUCUCGUUGGUGGUACGACACCAAGAGACAACUUUCUUUGUUACAGAAACAACACAAAACACAGAGUAAUGUGAAGCUCAAAAUAGCUCAAAUAUUACAAGAAAGAGAACCAUAUACAAAUCUCACAAUUACUAUGAACAUGUAUAAGAUCAAAAUCAUGAAGAAUGUAUAAUUUCUACCCUUAAGAAAUCUCUAAACAGUAAUGAAAAAAAUCAUGCGAGAACAAGAUAGGACGAUGAACACAUUUGAUAAUAUGCAACAGAUGACAUGUUAAUCCCUAAGCAUAAUACUAUCUCACUCUAAUCUCACAUGCAAUUCUGUCUUCCUAUAUGACAUACAAAGAAUAUGAAAAUAUGCAACUUAGCAGUUUUAAUAUGAAUGAAUGAAUGUAUUAAUUCGUAUAUAGAAUCUGUUGAAAAUAUAGUUUAUAUAGAAAAAGUGUUUGGCACCCAGUUAAUCGAUUAUGUUGCUUGUUAAUCGAUUAUCUGUUGAAACUGUUAAAAACUGUUUUCGCGCUAAUCGAUUAAAGCUUCACUUAAUUGAUUAAUUAACUGACAUAUUUUCAGUUAAGAUGUUAAUUGGUAAACAACCUAUAUGUUAUACUUAUCAACUAUACAUGUUUUACUUUUAUGUUAUGCCUAAAAUGCACAAAUAACAUGUAUGAUUAAUGCAUGAACAUAUAAUAAGCUAGAUGGCAUGUCUCAUGUAAAUGAUAUGAUAGUUUUUAGACUUUGUGAGAUUUGUAUCUAGGUUUACCUAACCUAGACUCAAUAACUAAGACACAUCUAAGACUCUAGUCUAGACAUGAAGCUCUUGAAUCUUUGGCAUGUUGAUUUCUUAAGUUGUCUUUAAGCUUUCACGAAGUCCUUUGUCUUUAUCAAAACAUAGGUAAUCUUAAGUUCUCUCUUGACAUAUUGCACUUUCAAAUACGAACCGUGAAAGUGUGGCCUAUCGAUCCUUUAGUCCUUUGGAAUUUGAAGCUAUAGGUGUCAGAAAAGUUACCACAUGGAUAACUGGCUUGUGGCAGCCAAGCAUUCAUGGCGACGUUGCUUUUUGAUCCUUCGAUGUCGGCUCUUCCUAUCAUUGUUAAACAGAAUUCACCAAGUGUUGGAUUGUUCACGCACCAAUAGGGAUAGCAAGCUGGGUUUAGACCGUCGUUAGAGAGAUUAGUUUUACCCUACUAAUGACAAUGUCACAAUAGUAAUUCAACCUAGCACGAGAAGAACUAUUCAUUCACACAAUUGGUCAUCACGCUUGGUUGAAAAGCCAGUGGCGCGAAGCUACCAUGCGUUGGAUUAUGACUGAACCCCUCUAAGUGGUAGGUGAAAGUGACGACACAUGUUCUGAGUGGUAGGUGAUUAGUCGAAAUGGUGCAACGAAAAUCCACGAUGGGAACAUAGUCCCUUAUUCGAGUGGUAGGUGAAAUAUACUCAUGCCAUACACACUUUCCGAGUGGUAGGUGAAAGUGACGGCACAUGUUCUGUGUGGUUGGUGAAAGUGACCCGUGCCUUGCAUGAGAUUCUUGCUUCAGACGCAUUCCCUAUUUCAGUUAAUGCAUCAUAAGACGUGGACCCCUUCAGGAAACGCCUUCAUAUUUUGAGUAGAACCAGGAAUAGUUUUUCCAUGAUUUCCUACAAAGUCUCAAGUUGGAAUUCAACUCCUAGGCGAUGGUGCCCGUCAUGGCACCAUGGCGUGUGCCACACUUCGGUGGAAAAUCAUUGCA